rnacentral:rRNA from 1 species
CUACGGGCCGCACCAGUGAGGAAUAUUGCACAAUGGGGGGAACCCUGAUGCAGCAACGCCGCGUGGAGGAUGACGCAUUUCGGUGUGUAAACUCCUUUUAUAUGUCAAGAAAAUGACGGUAGCAUAUGAAUAAGUACCGGCUAACUCCGUGCCAGCAGCCGCGGUAAUACGGAGGGUGCAAGCGUUACUCGGAAUCACUGGGCGUAAGGGACGCGUAGGCGGGUUGGAAAGUCAGGUGUGAAAUCCUACAGCUUAACUGUAGAACUGCACUUGAAACUUCUAAUCUAGAGUAUGGGAGGGGGAGAUGGAAUUAGUGGUGUAGGGGUAAAAUCCGUAGAUAUCACUAGGAAUACCUAAAGCGAAGGCGAUCUCCUGGAACAUUACUGACGCUAAGGCGUGAAAGCGUGGGGAGCAAACAGGAUUAGAUACCCCAGUAGUC